ACAGCUUCUCAUCUUUUGGCUAGAAUCAAGUGUAGCAUGUGUUCUUACCAGCUUAAUAUCUGGUGUGUCCUUUAUCCGACAAUAAUAUAUUCAAUGAUUUUUUUUUUUUUGAAACAGAAAGACUCUUCUCUGUCUGCUCCAUGCAUCCACCUGGUACUACAAUGCCUCUGAGAAUGAUGUACUUCAU
rnacentral:snRNA from 1 species